UUCUUGCGUGAAGGAUGGAAGUGGCAUCUCCCGAUUUAGAAAAACAAGGCUUUUUUGCCGUAGUUUUUGUUAAUCGGGAAUACAGCGGACAGCCUGACCUCGU
rnacentral:sRNA from 1 species